UUAUGGCCAUAUCACGUUGAAACACCAGUUCUUGUACAAUCACCAAAGUUAAGCAACUUCGAGCUUGGUCAGUGCCUAAAUGAGUGACCACUUGGGAAUACCAGAUGCUGUAAG
rnacentral:rRNA from 1 species